AUUCUCUUCAAAUAAUUUUAUGCAACCAAUCCAAGCGCAUAUCUAACUAAGCAAAGGGGUGAAUCCAAUCCUGUUCUCUAACCUUCCUUCGCGAUGACCUUAGCCAACCGCUCAUCAUUCCACCAAGCACGUAUUGCUCGGCUGAUUUGCAUAAGACCGGAAUGCUGAAGAUGAAACCACAUUCUUCGUGCCACUUAAUAGCAAUGAAAGAACGUCUAAUCGUUCUAUUCGGUAGACGUCUUUGACUGUCUCGACUACUAUUUUGCGAUGUUUGGAAUUGUAUGGUAAUCGCACGUUCAAAAUAGCGCUACUCAUCGCCAUGUUCACUCUUUUUAUCGAUGAAAUCAAUUUCAAUUGAUGAACAAUCAUAGCACAUUAUUGCCAUUUCAUUCUGUUCGCGUUAUCGCAAAGACACAAGGUAUAAUGUUUCUAAUAUCCAUGUUUUACUAAUUACUGUGGUAGCUAAUUAUUUUAUUCUUGCAGCAUGAAAUAUUCAUGACUAGAGUCUUGGAGAAGUCGAGUUCAAGAUUAUUUUCAUUUUUUUAAGUAUUUGUAAAUAACAUUUAAAGGUUAAUUAUAAUAUAAUGUUGUAGCUUUAAGUGUUAUUGUUGGAUCAUAACAAUAUAAUUUCUAAUUAAAACUAUAAAAUAUAUUAGAAUGACGAAUAUUUUUAGUAUUUUAAAGCUAUAUAAAUAUUUUAAAGCUGUAUAAAUCAAAAAACAAAGUUUCCAUAAAAGUAUAGUACCAUCACAAUGUUACAAAAUAAAAUUUAAUGAUAAUUUCUUCUCUGAUGGAUGCUAAAGGGUUAAUAGUUGAUGAUUGUCCAACGAAGAAAACGUUCUUUCACGCGAGGUCAAAGAAGAAAAGGGGGCAGUAAAGAUCAAGUGAUCAUCAUCGAUUGUUCCCCACAGCGAAAUUCGAUAUUUAAUAAAUCCGAUCGUAUUCAAGCUUGGAAAUGUUGAACACGCUCGUAUUUAGUUUCACCUCUGUUUCGCAUAAAUUGUCUCGUGUCCACGCGCGGUACGCGCGAUAAAUCCACGAGUGCCGGCUGACACGCGUCUUUCCCUGUGUCGUAAAGCAAUUAAAGUGACGAGGAUGAUGCAGAGACAUGUGAUACGUCUGCGAGCGAUGCUUUUACAAACUCGAAAAUGUCGGAGCUCCAUUAAAUUCGAAGCAGAUGCAUAUAAAAGAAAUAUGCCCAUUUCAUAAAUUACAUGAUAAUAUAAACCGAAAUUACUGAUUCAACCUUAUAUAAUCGUAAAUUUGAUGGGCCAAAAAUGUAAGUCUGAAAGAAGAUAAAUCCAAAGAAGAAUUCUUGAAUUCUUUUGCCAACCUUCUUUUAUAACCAUUCAAAUCAAAUAUUGAUAGACUUUUGAAUUCUAUAUUAAACUAAUAAAAUGAGUAUGAAGAAUAGAUAAU